rnacentral:lncRNA from 1 species
UAGAAUUUUACUAUAAAUCUGUCUGUUUACCUGUUUACAGAUAUGGAUCGGUAUAUAUGACUGUUCAUCCCUUCGUACCAAAAAAUAAGGAAAACGGAGAGAGAAUCCACUGCCCAAAAUGUGCAUAUACCUCAUUUGUCUAAAAUUAAAUAUAGGUGGGUGGUAGAGGGGGUCAAGUUAUUGAUGUGAGAUGGAUCCCGAUAAAAAAAAAAAACUAAGGUUCUAUUGACAGGAUUCUGAUAUCCUCCAAACAUUAGGGUAGACACGUGUUGGCUGACACCCGAAAGUGACAAAGCCAUAUUAUAAUGCAUGAGAACUAGAAAGAAAUAACUAACAUAAAUAAAACUUGUAAAUUUAACUAUAAUGAAUAUGCAAUUGUGAAACAUGUUUAGAACAUACAACUAAACUGAGACAUUAAAAAGGAAUAAUAUAAAAUUGAAUGAACAAAUGGAAGGGUCCUACACCGAGAGGACUCAAAGAUGCCGAUGCGGGAGUGCCUUGAUGCCGAGAUUGUAUGCCUUGAAUCUAAGUCCUGAGAGGGCGCUAAACAAAACAUGAGUGGACCAAGUUGAUAUAUAGAUAAUACUAAAAUAGUUAAUCUUUAAUGUACUAACCCUCAGGUUUGGAAAACUCGUAUAGCAUAAUAAGUUAUAGGUUUUUCCGAAAACUCUAGCAUGCCAUAAAACCUUUCAUAAAACAUAUAUCAUAUAUAAUGUGCUUAGUAGUAAUAGCCCAAGGCAUAUAUAUAUAUAUAUAUAUAUAUAUAACUUCAUUCGCCCAAAGGCUCUUCAUCUUCCGCCCGUAGGCAUAUAAUAAUAUCUUCUGCCUGUAGGCACUACAACCCACGGCCGAAGCCAAUAUAAGUAUCAUUCGACCCGUAGGCUCCUAUAUCACUCGACAAAAGCCAUAUAUAGAUAUCAUUCGACCCGUAGGCCCCUACAUUACCCGACCGAAGCUAAUAUAAAAGUAUCAUUCGCCUAUAGGCAGUAUCGUUCGCCCAUAGGUAAAUCAUUCGCCCGUAGGUAGAUCAUUGAAUAACCACUAAAUAAGUAUAUAAAAACAUUAACAUAAUAUUUCCAAACAUAAUACAUAUAUCUCAACGGAGCUCAGUAACCCAAACAUCAUAUCUUAAAACAUUUUCAUAGUAUAUAGUCAUCCAUAUAUACUACAACGAACGUAAAAAUCGAUAAAGUAUGGUAAUCCAAAAUAUUCUCAGUAAAGCAUAAUAUCUCAUAAAGUGUAAAUCUAAUUUACUCAUAAACGUUUCAUAAAACGUAACCAUUAAAUCAUGUUUUUCAUGUAUAAAUUUCUAAUAGCAAAAUAUGCAUUUUAGAAGGGGUCCACUCACAGAUACUUCGCCGUCGAAGAGUCAUGCAAAACAAGAGAGGACGGAAACACCAUACACAAUUGCACCUAAGCACAUAAAGGUACCAAUUAAUAAAAUGAAGUUUUAACGAAAAGCCCACGGUACUGUUCACUUUAAUGAAAAACCACAUUUUUACACUAAAAAGUCAAUUCUGGUACUAUUCACUUUACCCUUUAUUUUGUCCUUAUCAUUAAAACUCAAAGUUUUCAAGCCCUUUUCAUUAGUUUUCCUUUAAUAAAACUCUACCAUAACGAUUGAAUUUCGGGAAACGGACGCAAUAAAUGGUCGAAAAACAUAAAAGGGGACCUCGGCUACCCCCAUGCACCGCCGCACGCACCUUCACACACUGCCACGCGCCAUUUUGGGUCACCGGAAAAGUUGACGGAGUCGCCGCACAGUACCUUUGGUGGAGGCGCGUGUAAUACCCUGGAAAUUUAAACAUAUGAAUUAUAUAUUCAUAAUUAUGAAUAUGUGGAGAAAAUCGAAAAUAAAUUGAUUUAUGGUUAUGAAAAUAGAAUUGGGAAAUUUUAAGUUUUGUUUCCGGAAAUUAUUAUAAUUCAUGUAUUUGUAUUAUUGAGUUUAUAUUAUUUUUUAAGAAUUUAUGUUAAGUUAUUUGAAUUGAGUUUUAAAUUAAACUACUUACGAAGUUUGAAGUUUGGAAAUUGAUUAUUUAAAAUCCGUAGACCAUUCAAGGGCACAAUUUAUAUUUUUUAAUAGAGCUUGACCUCAUGAAAGCGUAGAUGUAAAUUGUUCAUGAAACAGAGUUAUAACGAAGGAGUUAUUAACAAGUGAAGUGGAGGGCAAAAUAGACAUUUUACCAUUUAAUUGGAUGGCUCCAGAAAAUCUGGAGUAAUGGGAUGAGCCACGUGUGUGGUUGAGAUUGAGAAGGGAAGUGAGAUGGAAGGAGGAGAUGAAGGAAGAAAGGAGAGAAAAGGAGGGAAGGGCUGCCCAAUGUUUUUUUGGGGGGGGGG